ACGGUUGUCACAUCUUUCCCCUCUUAAAAGGAUUCUGUCCCCAGAAUCAUAACUCAAACAAGUCGUCCCGUUACAUUCUAAACAUGUGAAAAAAUUAAAUACAGUAUAGUACCUCCAUCUAUACCUCUAUUUUUUACUUAGUCAUGCAAGUAUCAUCAUUUUUGCACCAACUCCCCUAAUAGUAUAAGAAUGCGAUUCAAU
rnacentral:lncRNA from 1 species